rnacentral:pre_miRNA from 1 species
UAUUUACUCCCUUCGUCCCGAAUUACUUAUUGUAGAAAUGGAUGUAUUUAGACAUAUUUUUAGUUCUAAAUAUAUCCGUUUCUAUCCGUUCUGUGACAAGUAAUUUGGGAUGGUGAGAGUAUCUU